CAAUGCAGGCCUGAUGAUCUCUGCCAGGAGCUGCUGUAGUUUUGUGGUGGAUGGAGGGUAAUCCAAAUAUCGGCCUGGACGAGGAGCAGAUCGGUCUCUGCAACGUGUGGCAGGCCCGCGUCUGCGCGAGACCACCAUCCAGCCAUCCCAUUGUGGGGUUGUCAUUAUCAAGCUGAAGAGGAUAUCAAUAAAGUAAUGGUAAGCAGGAUAAGAUGCUGUCUCUGUAUAGAGCAACAAGCAUUCAAGUAGAUGGCAGUUGGAG